rnacentral:ncRNA from 2 species
CGAAACUUGUCGGAGUGCCGUAGGGCUGAGAUCGCGUAAGUGGGAUCCGUCGAACCUGAUCUGGGUAAAACCAGCGUAGGAAACAAGAGUAAACAUCUA